UACAGAGGUCUCAACCGUUGUUCGGAUUCAUUGGGCGUAAAGGGUGCGUAGGCGGUCGCGCAAGUCGGAUGUGAAAUCUCAGGGCUCAACCCUGAAACUGCAUUCGAUACUGCGUGGCUAGAGUGCUGGAGAGGAGACUGGAAUUUACGGUGUAGCAGUGAAAUGCGUAGAUAUCGUAAGGAAGACCAGUGGCGAAGGCGAGUCUCUGGACAGCAACUGACGCUGAGGCACGAAGGCGUGGGGAGCAAACAGG
rnacentral:rRNA from 1 species